AAAGAAUAGUAAAUGGAAAGCAGAAGUUGUGGACCUGUACUUUUGGGAAUGGGUGUGUGUGUUGGUUCCUUCUGUGUGUUUUCAAGGCUCAGAAACAACUUUUCACCAUUUUCUGUCUGUAAUGUUCAGCACGUCUAACAACUUUGGCACACUUUGGAAGUACAGUAGUCAGUGGGAGAAUUUAUUUUUUUACUGACUGGCCAUGCUCAAAAAAACAGGACCAGUUUAGCAAGAACUGCACCUUGGUCCUUUACAUAUCCUGACCAAGCCAUUAUUGGUGAGGAAAUGUUAGUGACAGCAGCUCUUUUUGUUAAACUGGACUCAGCCAAGAAUCUUCCCUAGAGUAACAAAUGCUGCCUGCGGCACCACAAGUGCAUUCUGCAAACUUACUGUAGGAAAUAUUACUAACCAGAGCAAGCGGACUCAGUACUCGUAAAAACGUAGAAGAUGGAUUCAAGCUGUUGUGUCCGAGGCGGCUCGUGUAAAGUUAACAAGCCAUCUUUCUUCACGUGUCCAUUGAAGAGAGUCGCCUGGAAAACUGACUCAAAAUGGCCCUUUGAACGUUCCAGUUUCGUUUUAUAACACGGAGGACUGCAGAGUGCUGACCUCGCCUUUCAGUAAAAGAAGAAGCCUAGCAGGCAGCGCGCUCUUAAGGCUCUGACUGCUCCACGUGAUCCGCUGGGCCUGCAAAAACCACAACUGCAACGUCAACGGGAACAUUACUAAACAUAAGGUUUAAUGAAUAGAACAAUAGCUUUGUAGGUGCGUUAUAAAUUUUUCUAAAUUUCUCUGCGUCCUCUGCAAAACUACAACGUGAAAUCACCAAACUCUGCGUUUUUUGGAGAACGUGACCGACGACGGUUAUUUUUUUAAUUUUCUAUUUCUAAUUUAACGCUCUGUUCCUUAUUUAGUUUCAGAUAGAUUUGACAGUGAAAAACAAACUAAACGACUUUAGAGUAACGCAAGGUUCGUAGGUAAAAUAAAGGUUCACUUUUUAACCGA